AAUAAAUACGACAGAAAGCAAUGCCGAAAAAUGCACAGAAAAUGAGCUGUUAUUUUUAGUCGUUGUUUCUGUUUUUUCCACGUACUUUUAUUAUCUUAUCU
rnacentral:ribozyme from 1 species